rnacentral:rRNA from 1 species
ACUCCUACGGGAGGCAGCAGUGGGGAAUAUUGCACAAUGGGCGCAAGCCUGAUCCAGCCAUGCCGCGUGUGUGAAGAAGGCCUUCGGGUUGUAAAGCACUUUCAGUGGGGAGGAAAGGAUUGAUGGUUAAUACCUAUCAGCUGUGACGUUACCCACAGAAGAAGCACCGGCUAACUCCGUGCCAGCAGCCGCGGUAAUACGGAGGGUGCAAGCGUUAAUCGGAAUUACUGGGCGUAAAGCGUGCGCAGGCGGUCUGUUAAGCGAG